AUAUUUUAGAUUAGAGCUAUCAAGAUUUUAGGUCUCAUUGGUAUGAUCUCAUCAUGGUCCUAAAAUCAUUGUCCUAAUUUAUGAGAUUUAUCAUAAUCAUAAAAGUAUGAUGCAGUAAAUGAUAAAACAAAAUACCUCAUAAAUAAAAAUAACUAAUGUCAUAUAAAUGAGUAGGAAGAAAAUAAAGAAAAAAUUUCUUCACAUCCCCAU
rnacentral:lncRNA from 1 species